UACAGGGGGUGCAAACGUUGCUCGGAAUCAUUGGGCGUAAAGCGCACGUAGGCGGUUCGUUAUGUCGGAUGUGAAAGCCCUUGGCUUAACCGAGGGAGUGCAUCCGAAACUGGCGAGCUAGAGUACGAAAGAGGAUCGCGGAAUUCCCGGUGUAGAGGUGAAAUUCGUAGAUAUCGGGAGGAACACCGGUGGCGAAGGCGGCGAUCUGGGUCGAUACUGACGCUGAGGUGCGAAAGCGUGGGGAGCAAACAGG
rnacentral:rRNA from 1 species